UACGUAGGGAGCAAGCGUUGUCCGGAAUUACUGGGCGUAAAGCGUGCGUAGGUGGUUCGUUAAGUCUGAUGUGAAAGCCCUGGGCUCAACCUGGGAAUUGCAUUGGAUACUGGCGGGCUAGAGUACGGUAGAGGGUGGCGGAAUUCCUGGUGUAGCAGUGAAAUGCGUAGAUAUCAGGAGGAACAUCCGUGGCGAAGGCGGCCACCUGGACCAGUACUGACACUGAGGCACUAAAGCGUGGGGAGCAAACAGG
rnacentral:rRNA from 1 species